rnacentral:lncRNA from 1 species
UUAACCCUAGCCUAGGUCCAUCCGAACUUUUAAAAAAGUAAAGAACAAUAAAACCUCCUCUAAUUUUCCAAAGUCAUUCUUGCCUAAAAGACAUCGAACCCCUAGUUCUCUAUUCCUAAAGUAUUGUCCAAAAGAUCCGGCGAACUAGUCCCAAUAGCUCUAGCGAUGGCGACAUCUCCAGCAAGGGCGCAAGGCCACAUCUCUGGCAAAGCACACGCCUUUCUAAAGCUUCCUCUCGUUGAUGUUGGCCACAAACCCUAACCAAAGUCACUGAAUUCGGCAAAUAGAGAAGACACCGAGUCAAGAAAACACCUUUGCCACUUCUCUAAAGCUUCCUCCUCACGGUCAACAAUGGGAUCUUGUUAGAGCCGGACAAAUGGAGAAAACCCAGUAGGAAUUGCUUCUUAGAUCGUCUGUAAAACCCUCGUCACUAGGACUUAGGGUACCAAGGUAUUUUUCUCUAUUCUUCAUUGUUAUUUUCUCUACGUCAUUUUUGACUUUGUAGAUCUUUGUACCUUGUGCUUGGUGUUUAGAUUUCUCAUUUGCCUAAGGUAUUUUGUGUUUCUUCAAUUACUGAUAACCUUUGUUGGAAACUUUUUGAAGUGAAAUCUUCAAUUUAUGCUAUAUAUAUUUUCAGUUCUUUAUGAUUUGUUUGUUUUAUCCUUUUUGUUUGGAGGGCAGAGAUAUUGCGGAAUUGAAUGCUUAUGGUUCAUAUCUCGUACCAUUUCAUUUGAACAAUAUUUUUGAGUCUAAUGACAGAAUAUUGUGCAAGGACCUCAAUAGCAUAGCAGCAAGAACAAAUAUCAAAUUCAGUAAAUUAUUUUUUCUAAAGAGAAAUAACUGAAUAUAUGUCCUGUUUCGUUUUGUUUUUGCUAAAGAUUUACAUUUUAUCUUUAUUUUUCAUUCUUUUUGGUUCAGAUUCCCUUUAGUAGAAGAGGCACCUCAGGUAAUUUAUGAAUCUAAAGAUAUGAGAUGAUAUAGGAAUUGAUUUAAGUCAAGUAGACAAAAGGCCCUUUAAAUAUCUCAAGCUCUCACAUAUAGAGACUUCUAAGUGUAAAGUAUCUAUUUACAUGCACGAAUAACUUUAUUCUUUAUUUAACUUUGUGUAGCAGUUAAGAUUGAAUUGUCAGUCAUGCAUAUUUUGUAUAGGAAAAACAUAAUAAGGCUUCUAGAUUUCUAAUGAUAAAAUAGACAAUGUUUUUCAAUUAUUUAAAUUUAUGUCAACUUCUCCUAUAUAAUUCAUGCAUCAUUUUCUGUGUUUAAAAAAAACAAGAAUCGGAUGCUAAAAGAAAACUAAAAAUAUGGAACCAAUACACCUCUUUUGCAAGUUUAUAUUCCACUGUUGUUAAUUCUAGCACAAGUAUUAAACUGUGAAGUAGGUGAAACUGUGAUUUAUUAUGGACAAAAUGGUCAUGAAGGGACAUAUGUUUGCUCUAUCAUAUUUUAUUUGUUGCUCUAAGAAUAUAUGUCAAUUCAUAAAAUACUUCUCAGUUGUUUUCAAAUUUUUUGAGCUGAAUGUUACUUUUUGCUUUUGCUUUAACAUAGGAAUGGUAUAUCUGAUUUGUGGAAAUUAAUAUGGGACUAGGCCAAGCAGUAACAUAUCAAGAGUACUAGAGGACUGUUAGUUAUAAAGAUAGUCAUCCUGGAUCAAGGGAUCUCUAAUUUUGGAAUCUCUUUGCUCAUUUUGAAUUUUGAACCUCAAAUUUUAUAACCAAUAUUGUAUAUGUUCUACAUUUUCUAAAGUAGUAGCUCUGCUUGACUCAAAAUUAUUUUAUAUAUUCUCUCUUUUGCUUGAUCAAGAAAUAUUUAAAUGUUAUUGCUAAUAAGAAAGAGUCUUCUAUGGUCAGUUUAAGCAACUACUUAAUGCUGAAUUUCCAUUCUCCAGGCUUGCCAAGGAAAUUAUCAGUAACUACGUACUCUUCUGGAAAGAACAAAUAUCUCUUUCAAGUGCUCCAAUGAUGAACUUUCAAAUAACUCUUUCUACUGAGUGUGUUUGAAGUGGAAUAAAGUACAUGUGUCAAUCUGUCCAAAACCUUUAUUUUUUAAUUUAGUUAGAGACACAUAAUUUGAUUAUUUAGUGUCUGAUAGCAUCUAUACAUUUGAUAAAUAUCCAUAAUUGUUUCCUUGUUCAUAAUUGAAUCGUUCACACUUUGCAGUAUAUACCUGUGAUUCCGUGAGGGAUAGAAUUGACUUCAAUUGACAGGUACUGGAUGGACUCUAUAGUUUUGCAGUAGGUAUUUGACGUCAUCUCAUUAACGCAUUACUAUUUCUUGCUUGACGGAUUAGCUUUGGUAAUAUUAUCAACAAAGCAAGUCCCUCAGCCAUCCAUCCGUGAAAAGAUGUCCUUUGAUGCACAAGACUUGAUUGACAGGUUAGUUAAUACCAUUUUUAAUAUUAUAUAUGAUCCAUCCUCUUAGAAUAAAUUUCACUAGUAAUUUAGCAUUCUUUAAAAGGAUUAUAAAAUGAUCAUGUCCAAAUUACUUUGUAAGAUAUUUUCAUAGACUGGUUUGGUGGUCCUAAUCUUUUGGAGCAUGCUUGGUGUGGAUCCGUACAUUCAUAAUAUAAUUUGAGGGACUACUCUCUUUUCUCUAGGCUUAGUUUAGUAGUAUGUUAAAGUUCGUUGAUAUUCAAAUGUAAUAGCUGUGUUUACUGAACAUAUUCAUAUGGUGGCAGAAGAAAAUACAAUAUACAUAAUUCAUCAGAUAUCUUCCAUGUAAUAUGUAGGUUCUGACAUAAAUAUUUAUAUUGCAUCAUCAAUUUUAAUUGAAAAAAGUUUUAAGAAUGUAAACAAAUCAUACAUCUAGCAGUAUUAUUUUUUUUGUGCAGUUAAGUUGAAAAUCUUUGUGGUUUCUGGAGUUUUAAAUGUGCAAUUAUGCCAAAUUAUUUUGCAAUGGUUUUCAUGUGCACUUCGUUAGAUUUUUCCUCUCUAGUUAAGCUUGAAAUUUUCUACAGUAUUCGUUUGUAUUAUGUUGCAGUUAAAGAUUAAAACUUUAUGCAGUAAUUUUUUCCAGUGGUUUCUUUUUUUCCCCCAGUUAAGCAAGGAGAUCAAGGUGAGAGUUGAAUAAUAACACUUGCGUGAUUUUGAAGGUAAUUGUCUUAUAUGGAUCGAUUAUCUAGUAAUUGCACUGAGUGUUUAAUUGUGUGUCUAUAAUAGUUCAAUCAUCCAACAUGAUUUACCUUAUUUGGAAACUUUUUGGAAUUUGAACUUUUGGCAAUUGACAAGUUUGUUUAUGCAGUGCUGAUUUUUGUUUAUUUAUUUUUCGGGUUUUGAUUAUACCAACAUGAUAAGAUAUCUCAAUUAAGAAUGAACUACUAGUAAAGAUAAAAUAAGAUAUCCUUGUGUUAUUUGGUUGAUGAAUAUCAUAUUACUAGAGUUAGUGAAUGUUUCAUCAAGAUUGACGUUUUAAAUUGCUAGAAACUUUAAAGUUAAAAAAAUAUCUUUAAUUAAAGGAGAUUUGCUGUUUGGUGAAAUGACAAUAAGGUAUGACAAUAAGUUUUUUUAUUUUAUUUUCAAUGAGAUUUAUUUUUAUUUCUUGGAGUUUUUGAAGAUGUUUGUUAUAAUAGCUAAAGUGAUGUCUGUUGGUGCAUGUUAGUAGGAACUGUGUUUCUGCUUGCUCGUACUUUUUGUAUUUGACUUUAGUAGAAUAUGAGGUUGUUGCCUUAUGAAGUUUCGUACUUUUGUAUUUGACUGGUUAUUCUAAGUUAUAAAGUUCCGUCCUUUUUCUUAUGAUACUUUUCCUCUAUAGUUAGUAUUGGCACAUGAGACUUAUACUCUGUAAAUUGAACUUAUGGAUACUACUUUGAUGGUAGUCGCUAGUUGUAUGCUUAUCUUCUGGCUUCUGUAUAGUUAGAUUGAUCAAAUUAUACUCUAGGUUAAGAUUUCAUAUAUCGCUUCUUUUUCCAUGUGAGUUCUUUUUUGAUUAAUUGUUAUAUAACCAAAUAUGAUAUAGAUUGUUUUGUUUUUAUUAUGAUUUUGUAAGUGAAGAAAAUGAACAAAGGAUAGACAAAAGGCAGUCAAUACCUUAAGAUUAUUAGUUGAUAGUUGCAAGAUCUUUAGAUGUUCUAAGAAUUUUUUAUUUUAGAAGUUUUUGCAAACUUAUGUAUGGUAACUCUUGAAUUUAUCAAAUAAUAUUCUCUUUUUUGCUUUA